rnacentral:lncRNA from 1 species
UGUUCACAGGCAGAUCUCGGUGUCCACAGAGAGACGUUCUCAACUGACCCUGCCCAGGAAAGGAGGCUGUAGCGUCCCUUUCAGAGCCCGUCGAGGGUGAAAUGUGAGGCCGUCUGGAAGCACAAGCUGCCGGCCUUCAGGGCACAACUUGAGACUUCGUUGACAGAUCCAGAGAACGCAACCUGCCCGGGACGAACCAAGCCACGCACGGAACGGAUUCCACCUGCUAGGUGAACCUUUGCGUCAAAGCAGGCAAAGGAGAAGGCUCCGCAGCCCGGCCUGCUGGGGUCCGACGCCCCCGGCCCUGCUCUGUGCACACAGCGACAGAAAACUGGAGAGGAACGCGGAGAGCGAGAGGUUUUCCUUUCAUUAGGACCCCUGGAGGAAGCCAGAAGAAUGGGUACACUGGGGAAAGAAGGGAACCUUCGCCAUCUUCCUUGAGCCUAGAUGUACUGAGAUGCCCAAGCAGCCUCUGAAUGCCACCCUCCUCUUUCCGUCCCUGUCAUAGGAAAAGCUUCUGCUGGCUGAAGGGAGAGCGGGACGGAGGGCAGCACGACCAGGACGGUGCGGACGGAGGGCUGGAGUCAGGCUCCAGUGAACAGAGAUCACACAGAUAUAUAGAGAGAUGAGAGGGAGCGGGCAGGCGAAUGCGGUUACCUCGGAGGCUGCAGAGAAGCUGUUAAGUGGUGGAGAUUAAGGCUUCAUUCGCCUCUGUACGAACUUCGAGCUGUUCUAAGCCCAGUCUCCCAGACGACAAAACUCAGACCAGCUGCAAGAGGGAGGCUGUUAGCCCGGAUGGAGCCUCAGGUCUGAUUUAGAGGGUGCUUAGAGGAGGCAAGUGGGGAGGACGCACCUGAACAGUUUUAUUUCUGGGGAAACUUUCUCUGCGGAAGACACAGCUAAGGACAGAAAGAAAACACUCAUCAGUCACCCAGGGUGGACACAAAAGAUGAGAUGCGAAUUGGAGCCUAAAGCAGGGCAAGCAAACGUUGGGUGUAAUCCAGGGCUGAAGUCUUCACCUGAAAGGAGUGGGGCUGUCCGAAGAUACAAUCCUUGUUUCAGCAGGAUUUGGAGAGCUGCCUGGCUAGGAGCGGGA